GGGGGCAAAAAACGCUUAUGUUGAUAUGUGAAAAUAUUGUGUUGUCUGUGAGUUUGCUUGUCGCUCUUGGACUUUGCAUCUUUGCAAACUUUGAUUUGACGCAGUAACGCGCUGACUGUCGGCGCGAGUUGACUCGAGUUUGGGGGGAGGUAAACAAGAUGGCGACAACCUGACGGGCAGAGUAAUACGAAGAGUCCGAAAAAUAUGAAAUGAUAUGCAACUUGGCUGGAGUUACGCUUUUGUUCGUCUGAGGACCGACAUAUGACAAACGAAUAAAGCCUGCGACCGAGCAAAGAUACAUGCGGAUUUUAGGCAGCCGAAAUCUCGGUGGAAUGGAGGACACCUGAAGUCAGGAGGAACACACUUUCAGUAGGGUUGGUCUUUCUACAGAUGUGCAGCUGACACUGCUGCAUGAAAUUAGCAGUGGAAGUGUGUUUGGAUGCAGUCCACGUUUACGUGGCCCAAGGCAGACGAUAACAGGCAGCAUGGAUCCUUGACAGAAAUGUGCCACAUGGCCUUAAACCAGGGCUGGUCGUCCCUACGUAAGGCUGAAUCAAAUUAAAUCAAAUAGAGCUGAGGGUACAAAACAAAACAAAACAAAAAAUAUUUUUGUUGAAGUGCAUUUGUCUCAAACAAAAGGCACACAAUGAAACACUAAUAAGACAGCGGACCGAAUACAUUUUCACGUCAGUGUGCAGCUUUCAAUUAAAAAUAACAGUAAUGUUUACAAAUCUGGACUGAUCCCCACCGCAGCCAGAGUUCUCUCUCUCUCCCUCCCGCCCACAUUCAGUAUUUAUCUUUAUUACCUCUCAUUUUCGGGCCAAGAGGUUAACAGUGGAUUACUCUCCGCCACCAGGAAGAUUUGUUCCCAAGUAGUUUGCACACGACGCUCAGUCUGUGGAUCAGUCAUGAGUACCGGGGAGAUACAUCACCUCAACUACCUGAAUGAAAAUGAACUGAUGGAGAUGGACACGUUCAUUCACCGCAUCGACUCUACCGAGGUGAUUUAUCAGCCACGGAGAAAGAGGGCGAAGUUGAUAGGAAAGUACUUGAUGGGGGAUCUGCUGGGGGAGGGAUCGUAUGGCAAAGUGAAAGAGAUGCUGGACUCUGAAACCCUCUGCCGCAGGGCUGUCAAGAUACUGAAAAAGAAGAAGCUAAGGAGGAUUCCUAAUGGAGAAGCCAAUGUGAAAAAGGAAAUUCAGCUGCUAAGAAAACUCCAACACAAGAAUGUGAUUCAGUUGGUGGAUGUUCUCUACAAUGAGGAGAAGCAGAAAAUGUAUAUGGUGAUGGAAUAUUGUGUGUGCGGGAUGCAAGAAAUGCUGGACAGCGUUCCGGAAAAAAGGUUUCCUAUAUUUCAAGCUCACGGGUACUUUUGCCAACUCUUAGAUGGCCUUGAAUAUUUGCACAGCCAGGGAAUUGUUCACAAGGACAUUAAACCAGGCAAUCUGCUAUUGACCACAGAUGGGGCACUUAAAAUUUCUGAUCUGGGGGUAGCUGAGGCCCUGCAUCCAUUUGCAGAGGACGACACGUGUCGCACCAGUCAGGGCUCUCCGGCCUUUCAGCCGCCGGAGAUUGCCAACGGCCUGGACACCUUUUCAGGGUUUAAAGUGGACAUUUGGUCGGCGGGAGUAACACUAUACAACAUUACUACAAGUCUUUAUCCGUUUGAGGGGGACAACAUCUAUAAGCUAUUUGAGAACAUUGGGAAAGGAGAAUUUACUAUUCCUGAAGAUUGCGGACCUCUCCUCUCAGACCUGCUGCGAGGAAUGCUCGAGUAUGACCCUGCAAAGAGGUUUUCCAUACAAAACAUAAGACAACACAACUGGGUGCGUAAGAAACACCCACCAACGGAGCUCCCCGUACCCAUCCCCGCCAGUGCGGAGAGCAGGGACCCUUGGCGCAGUAUGACAGUGGUGCCCUACUUGGAGGAUCUCCAUGGCUACAAUGAAGAUGAUGACGACGAGCUUUACGAUGGAGAGGACGAGAUCAUCUACACUCAGGAUUUCACGGUGCCAGGUCAAGUGGCCGAAGACGAUCACGACCCGGGGCACGCGGACUACAGCCCACCUAUGGCCAAACCUGUUUGCGUGAACGGCACAGAAGUGGGGUCUCUGAACAGCAAGGCCAAAACCGAACGACGGUCUUCAUCCUCGUCCAACCCCUCGCGCAAAGGGAUGUCCACGGCGAGCAAAAUCCGCAAGCUCUCCACCUGCAAGCAGCAAUGACGCCCCCCCCCCCCUCUCCUCUUCAGUCUCUGGUGGCAGCAGUCAUCCGGUGAGUGGAGCUGUCCCCAAUCCUCAUCUGUCUGCAGCGGACACGCUUGUGAGGGGAAAACCUGCUGAAGUUUGACAAAAAGCUCCUCGUACCUCCGUGGACCACCUGGCUUUGUAGAAACGUGUGCUCUGAGAAAGGUUGCGGAUGGGUGGAAAUGUUCCUCUAAAUUUCCAGAAAGCUUGGUAAAUUUCCAGGGAAUUUAAGACGGCACUUUUUAAAAAAAAUAUUCCAAAUUGGAACAUGUCAUUGGAAAUUUUUGAGGGUAAUUUAUAUCGCAUUCAAGCAUCAAUGUGAAGGUCAUAAGCAGUCAUCCAUGCAAAAUACAGGUUGGGGGGGGGGGCUCUUCAAUAGAGCUGUGACAUAUCAGAAGCUUGCUUGUAGCUCAAAUUUGGUCUUGCGUAAAAAAA